rnacentral:rRNA from 1 species
GCCUAGCUAUAACACACAAUCAAACUACAAAUUGUUCGCCAAACAACUACGAGAAAUACUUAAAACUUAAAAGACUUGACGGUACUUCAUCCCGACCUAGAGGAGCCUGUCUAAUAACCGAUAACCCACGAUUAACCCAACCACUUCUUGCCCUACAGUCUAUAUACCGCCGUCGCCAGCUUACCUUGUAAAAGAAAUAAAGUGAGCCAAAUAGUAACACACUAAAACGACAGGUCGAGGUGUAACCUAUGAAGAGGUUAAGAUGGGCUACAUUCUCUAACAGAGAAUACGAACAACACUAUGAAAUUAAUGUUCAAAGGCGGAUUUAGCAGUAAGAUAAGAAUAGAACACCUAACUGAAAAUAACGCAAUGAAGUGCGCACACACCGCCCGUCACCCCUGCCACCACAAUAUUAAACAUCAAUAAACCAACCCAAUAAAUCAACCAGGGC